GGUUGUGGCUCAGCGGUAGAGCGCUCGCCUAGCAUGUGUGAGGCCCUGGAUUCGAUCCUCAACACCA
rnacentral:tRNA from 1 species